rnacentral:misc_RNA from 1 species
UGGCGCGCAGGGGAGAGGAGAGGAAGGGGAGAAGGGGGUGGAAAAAGGAUCAUGAGAUUGCAAACACCAGUGAUGAACCGGCUUAGAACAUUUAUCUCCAAGAGUCCAAAUCUAAGAAUAUGAUAGAAUUUAACAGAUGCAAGCUGAAUUUGUAAAUGAACUGCAACAAACUGCCGGAAUGAGGCCCAAAAGUUGAUGUUCUGACACAUUUAUACAUAUACAACUAGCAUAGGCACUAAGCACCCUUGUUGCUACUCCAUGGUUUGAUUACAGCAACAACGAUGAUUGCAACAAUGAUAAGAAGGAUUAUGAUGGCAAUACACAUCCAUUUCCUGGAGUUCUUCUGCAACUUCUUUGCCCUUUGGAGAGCAGUAUUCCCUGACUGCACAUGAUCUACAGCACUAGACACCUGUGAUUCUAUGUUGUCUAACAUUUCCCCUUGUGCAUCCACCAAAACUGCCAUAUCCAGAAAAACCUGUUGUAAGUCCAGAAGCUUACGCUCCAAAUCUCUAACAGCAUCAUGGCGUUCUUGAAUUUCUGCCAGAGUAUCCAUUAUCUGGCCUCGCCCUUGCUCGUGAAUUGCUUUCUGGAAAAUUUGUUCGCUAUCUCCAGUUUCAAUCAAUCUGUCAAUUGUCUCUUCAUCUGCUCUAGUGCCAGUCACUGUGAAAACACGCCUCUCAACAACCUCCCGAUACUCUUGAUGGAUAUUUUCCCUUAGAUUCUGAAAUUCAGCCAUCUUGUCUUUCAACUUCUUUUUCAAGGCCAUAGUUGUUGAGGUUCUUGAUCGGUCUACACCUGUUCCUUUUCCACAUCCUGGCUUCUGCCUAUUUGCUAAAUUCUCUUUGUCAAGUUCCUCAAUUUUGGACUUUACUGAACGAGCAAUUUUUCCAACUUCAUCAACAUCUUUCUCCAUCCGCUGCUUGAUUGCUUUCAUAGCAGGAGCUUUAGUCACAGCCUUUGACUCUUCAUGGGCAUCCUGGAGCUUUUUAAGUAGCUUGUCUAACUUCUCAUUUUGUUUCUCAAUCUCUUGAACCUUUUUAAAGAAAUUUUCCAAGCCCAAAUCUCCA